AGUGGGGCAAUGGGGAUUGGGAGGGAGAGAUCGGAGAAGUGGCUGUCUGGAGUGUUAACACGAGUCCAUCGUGUCCUCGGGAGAAGGAGAGGCUGCGUUGUCAAACGAGCCCUGACGAGAGGCAGAGGCGCCAUCACAGCGCUCUGAGAUGCUGCCGUGAAAUCUGGAUCCCGGCUGACUCAGGGAUCUGAAGGACAGUACUUUAUAAAAUCUCCCGGGCAGGUGUCCGAGGUUAAGUCAGGCUCUUCGAUAAUCGCCAAACAAUCAUAGGGAAAAAAAUCUACCCUGGGGCAGGAGAUAGGAUGGGGGAGGAGGGUGCGCAGUGGGAGAGACAGGACGACACGGACUAAAACCUGCUAAAAAGGCAAACAUUUCAUUUCUUGGGUGACUUCGUGCAGAUCUGGGGCUUAUUCCUCGAACUUGGCGUGACGAACCUGUAACUUCUUUCAAUGUUUUUGACCGUGCACUGUAUUGCCAUAAUGCCAAUAAACGCUUUAAACGCGUCUUACUAGCGACCAUCCAGCCAUUCAGGCCCUGCCUUAACGAGUUCUGACCUGGCCCUGGACAGCUGGGUCACUCCCUAGCUUCAGGUGCUCUUGGUACUGUGGGAAAAUGUGACUGGAUGGGCCGGGUCUGUUGCACCGACUUCUGGGUUUUCUUUCGUCUUGGCUUGCAAGUGGUCGCAGAGGCAAAGGCUCGCUUUUCAUGUCAGCGGGUUCAGGAUUUCAGGACUUUGAGUUAAGCGACCAAAGAAAACCCUGCCUGAUUUUUCCCUACUUAGUGUCUGCCUAAGAGGACAAGGACUACCAGCUCUCCCAGGGACGAAUUUCCUGGUGUGUAGUAUAGCCCAUAUCCCUCACCCUUUCAGCAAAUGCCAGCAGAUGGAUGCAGUUAAACCUCGGCGGUGCUCCAUGACCAGACACCCAUCCAGGGUGCAAAAGGGUUGGCCAUUAUGCGGUGCCUAUGGACUGGUGUUUAUCCCCGACAGCUGUAACAGGGAGAAGGAAUGGAACAGGAGUGCUCACAACUUCCCCGUCCCACGGCACGCGGGGGAGCACGGCAGGACCCCCACGGCUCAGGGGAGAAAAAGCCAGGAAAAAAAAAAAAAAAAAGAGAGAGAGAAAACUCUACACACAUCUUGGGAGCAAUCAAAUAUCUAUGCAAUGUUAUUAAAAAUUAUAAAAUCCCAGGAAAACAACGGCUCUCUUUUAUAAAGGAAAUCUGAGGAGCGCAGCGAGCUAAGUGAAAGCUCUGUUUUCAAGCGAAGGCAGGAUUAGUUCCCUGCACAUAAUAGCCUGUGUGUAGGAAUUGCAAAUGAACAUCACCAGCAGUUCUGGAGUUACUCUUCUUAAAUUAAUAUUGAGUUGGGUUCUCUGCACAAUGUGCAAAAUAUCAGACAUUUCUGAGCUUUCGAGGGGAACGAGGAUUGAAAUUAACCUGUACAUAUAUUUUCCCCUAGUUUAAUACGAGAAACUCUUAUCCUGGUGUAGCCAGUAAGCAGUGGAGGAAUUUGGGGUAACGCCCCCAGGACCUGUUUUGCGGGUUAAAAAAUACAUCAACAAAUCAGCACCAAAAUCCCGAAACGGGCCCGACACCCGCACAGACGGGGUAAGCACGAUUCCGGCUCAGCGGCGGGGGGCUCCGCUGCCUGAGACGGCCCCUCCACGGGGAGGCUCCGCGCCGGCAGCGCGGACGGGCCCCCGGCGCAGCGUUCGCCCUCCGCGGUGCUCACUCCCGCUGAGCGGAGCCUCCGCGGCCGCACGACGCGGACCGCGCUGGCCCAGUGUGCCAUCGCGAACCCAUAUACACCGGCUGAACGGAUUCUUCCAUCCCGCCAUCAGGGAAGGGGAAGUGUGUUUGUACUGCAUUUUCAAGAUUCACCAAUGGAAAGCCCAGAGUUGUUGUUUUGGAGGCUGUGCCAACAGUCUGAGUGGUGCAGAAAUGGCAAAAAAAGGUAGAGAAAGCAAGAAAAGUGGUUGGUUCCUGAUUCAACAGAACAGCAGCAUCAACAACCGCAACAUUAGGCAAUAUCGAGAAAAAAAAGAAGGAAGAGAAAAGAAAGCCUAACAGAAGUGAAGGCAAAGCUGAAGUUUCUGAGGUCUUAGUCUACUGACAAUCAAAAAGAUGAGAUGUAGACAUAAGUGCAAUCUUGUGCUGCUGGAAUUGAUGACAUGAGCCGGCUGCUUCAAAAGAAGAGAUUCUUUUAAAGCACAACUUCUGGAGAUCCUUGUCUUCAGCCCACUUCAGUAAAAUUCAGUGCCUCUGCCUGUACUCAGUUGCAUAUUUGGCCCUGCAGACCUAUUUGUGAGAAUAAAUCUGCAAGGGUACACUUGCUCACAUAGUAAGCAUGACUUUGAAAGAAGAAGAAACCUUGUCUCGUGUGGAUAAAGCAGCUGCGUGUACUUGAAUUCUCUGAAAGAGAAUUUUACUUUCUCCCGUCACAUUUAGACGCAGGUCUGUAGGUUUACCCCUAUGCAAGAAAUUUUAAGAAAUGUUCCAUUAGGUAAAACAUCUGGGGAUAAAUAAGUAAUAAGUAAUAACUUGUCAGGAAUUACCUGUUUGCUUCUUAAUUGGGGUCAUCACUUCAACUAUUUACUCUGGUGAGCCCUAAGUUCUGUUCUUCACUGUACAGACUUAUUAAAUAUCUAACAUUCAUGGUAUUUGGAAAAGAGGAACUGCAAUAUUAAUUGAAAUAUUCACUUUGGAUAACCAUUUGAACUAUUCUUCAAGAUACUAUGUGUUUUGAAAGUUAA